GUACGGGAGGCAGCAGUGGGGAAUUUUGCGCAAUGGGCGAAAGCCUGACGCAGCAACGCCGCGUGGAGGAUGAAGGUCUUCGGAUCGUAAACUCCUGUCAGGGGGGACGAAAGCCCGCAAGGGUCUGACUGUACCCCCUGAGGAAGCCACGGCCAACUCCGUGCCAGCAGCCGCGGUAAUACGGAGGUGGCGAGCGUUGUUCGGAAUUACUGGGCGUAAAGGGCGCGUAGGCGGCUUGGCAAGUCGGAUGUGAAAUCCCCGAGCUUAACUUGGGAAUUGCAUCUGAAACUGCUUUGCUUGAGUCCUGGAGGGGGUAGUGGAAUUCCCAGUGUAGCGGUGAAAUGCGUAGAUAUUGGGAGGAACACCGGUGGCGAAGGCGGCUACCUGGACAGUGACUGACGCUGAUGCGCGAAAGCUAGGGGAGCGAACGGGAUUAGAUACCCUUGUAGUCAC
rnacentral:rRNA from 1 species